GAUGAACGCUGGCGGCGUGCCUAACACACGCAAGUCGAGCGGGAUUCAUGAGGACGAAACUUCGGUCUAGAAAUCAUGAUGAGAGCGGCGGACGGGUGAGUAACGCGUAGGCAACCUGCCCUUAGCACAGGGAUAGCCUCGGGAAACCGGGAGUAAAACCUGAUAAUGCCAAACAGCCACAUGGCUGUUUGGCCAAAGAUUUAUCGGCUAAGGAUGGGCCUGCGUCUGAUUAGUUAGUUGGUGGGGUAACGGCCUACCAAGACGACGAUCAGUAGCCGACCUGAGAGGGUGAUCGGCCACAUUGGAACUGGGACACGGUCCAAACUCCUACGGGAGGCAGCAGUGGGGAAUAUUGCACAAUGGGCGAAAGCCUGAUGCAGCAACGCCGCGUGAGCGAUGAAGGCCUUUGGGUCGUAAAGCUCUGUCCUAGGGGACAAACAAAAUGACGGUACCCUUGGAGGAAGCCCCGGCUAACUACGUGCCAGCCGCCGCUGUAAGAC
rnacentral:rRNA from 1 species